rfam:Rhodobacter sp. CACIA14H1 contig00221, whole genome shotgun sequence.
CCUGGUGACCGGGCCCCUCUGGCGGACGUCCUGCGACGCGUCCGCGAUGUCGGCACCUUGU